rnacentral:rRNA from 2 species
UACGGGGGGGGCAAGCGUUGUUCGGAAUUACUGGGCGUAAAGGGCGCGUAGGCGGCCUACUAAGUCGGACGUGAAAUCCCUCGGCUCAACCGAGGAACUGCGUCCGAUACUGGCAGGCUGGAAUCCGGGAGAGGGAUGUGGAAUUCCAGGUGUAGCGGUGAAAUGCGUAGAUAUCUGGAGGAACACCGGUGGCGAAGGCGGCAUCCUGGACCGGCAUUGACGCUGAGGCGCGAAAGCUAGGGGAGCAAACGGG